GACUUCAACUAAAAAAGUCAUCAACAACAAAGUUGUAUAAUCCAUCUAGAUCAACAAUUUUUAUUUUGGUCAUUUUUUCAUCCGACAAAGUGAUUUUAACAUUGUUCAAAAAUUUUACAUAUCUCCCAAAUGGUUUCAUAAAUUAUAAGAGAGAUGUGUAAAUUUUUGUGAACAAUGUUACUAUCACUUUGCCGGAUGAAGAAAUGACCGAAAUAAAAGUUAUAGACAUUGACAAGUUAUACAACUUUGCUGUUGAUGACUUUUUCAGUUAAAAUC
rnacentral:pre_miRNA from 1 species